rnacentral:rRNA from 1 species
GACGAACGCUGGCGGCGUGCUUAACACAUGCAAGUCGAACGGAAAGGCCCUGCUUUUGUGGGGUGCUCGAGUGGCGAACGGGUGAGUAACACGUGAGUAACCUGCCCUUGACUUUGGGAUAUCUCCAGGAAACUGGGGCUAAUACAGGAUAGGAGCUCCUGCUGCAUGGUGGGGGUUGGAAAGUUUCGGCGGUUGGGUAUGGACUCGCGGCUUAUCCGCUUGUUGGUGGGGUAGUGGCUUUCCAAGGCUUUGACGGGUAGCCGGCCUGGGAGGGUGACCGGCCACAUUGGGACUGGGAUACGGCACAGACUCCAACGGGAGGCAGCAGUGGGGAGUAUUGCACAGUGGGCGGAAGGCUGAUGCAGCGACGCCGCGUGCGGGAUGACGGCCUUCGGGUUGUAAACCACUUUCGCCUGUGACGAAGCGUGAGUGACGGUAAUGGGUAAAGAAGCACCGGCUAACUACGUG